rfam:Frankia sp. ETN1f ctg00144, whole genome shotgun sequence.
GAGCGCCGGACGCGUUGAAAGGCGCACGUCCGGUGCGGGAGGCGACUCGAGGAGACGGGCUGGGCGCGAGCCCAGCACCGCGCCUCGGGUCGACCUCAC